AAAAGAGAAAAGUUGCAUCAGUAAUGACUAAUUGGCGUCAACUGGCAGGGCACGUGAACUGACACACCCACGAUGCUCGUGCAGGACUGGUUGUACUGGGACCGAGACGGUCGAGUGGACCGGUUAUACUGUGACACACAGCCCGUGUGUACCGUUCAUAUCAUGGCUGAGGGACGAGCGAGUAGAGAGAAGGUGAACCCGGAUCAGUUUGUGGAGGAGGAGGACUUCGCGGUGCCGCUCGUACAGGUCAGGUCUGUUGCUGAGUGAGACGAUCCAGUGAAGAAGAUCCAACGCCUCCGGUAGAUGACGAGCCUCCCAGCUUGAUUUCCAGGAACGCAGAUCUACAUUCACACUUAAACAGCCGGAUGAGCUGCUUUGUGCAAAUCGGUUUGCCAGCUAAGCAGGUGGGAAAUUCAAGACUAAAACGAGAGCUACAGAAAGUACAGAGAAUAUCUGUGACUUCUACUGGUGAGAACCAUGUGGAGUGAGUAUUUUUGUACUUGUAUGUAUAAUUUUCUUCUUCUUCUGUAUGUACUAUAGUGUACAAAGGAUGCUCGGAGGAAUCUGUCAAUCUGUACAAUCUAUCUAUUCUAUAUCAUCUAAUCUAUCUUUUAAGCCAUCUGGUUAAUACCUUCUCAGUUAUGUCUCUUCAAACAUAUUGUAGCUAUCAUUCAUCAUUCUUAUCAACACAGGUAGUAACUUUAUACACACAGAAGAAAUUGCUAAGAUCUGGGAAUGUGGCAACAUCGCUACGAUGAAAUGCAACAGGGCAAGAGACACGAGCGUCCACUUGUCCGUAGAUGUCAGACGUAUAUCAUCGUAAACACGCCAUAUUAUCUAAACCACUGUAGUUGGAGGUAACAUAGAUAUUAAGCACUCCCCCAAAUGCCAGUAAUAAAUUCCCAUUGCACAGAAUUGUGUGCGUACAGAAACCCAAGUAUGGUGGUUCAAAGUUGAACCAGGAAGUCAAUCUGUAAACAGUGAUGAAUGUUUACAACCGAUGGUUUGGGUAAUAAUUUUACCGUUGGCCUUUGCGUUCUCUUAAACACUGUAAAUUGUAUACCUCUCACCCUAACCUGUAUGUAGUCAAACACUAAACAUUGUCUCCAGCCACACAUUACAACCGAGAGCUGAAGU